rnacentral:lncRNA from 1 species
AGAUUCUAUGGUCGGUUCUUGUGAUUGAAGUGGUGGUUUGGUAUAGAUAUAUAAAAAACGUAUAGAUUCUAUGAUUCUAUGGUUCUUUAUGCUUGCAAAAAACGUAUAGAUUCUAUAGAUUCUAUGGUUCUUAUGUUACAUGCUUGCAAAAUGUAUGAUUUAUGUUUGGUUGUAUGGUCGGCUCCAGUCUUGUGUAGAUUUAUGAUGUUAUGGUUGUUUCAUGGUUGCAAAAUGUCUGUUAAAAUGUGAAGUAUUUUUAACAAAUUAGAAUUAGAAUUGUGGUUUACUUCUUCAAUAGAUUGCAAUGAGGGAAAUCGUUUAUGUUGUUAAUGUUACCUAUAUUAGCUGGAUUGCAAUGAGGCACUGUCGUCCUGAGUUGAUAGCGUAGAUAGGU